rnacentral:lncRNA from 1 species
AGGAACGGAUCAAAAGGAAUUCUGGGAAUGAAACCCUAGCAAGCUCAUUGUGUUCUUGAGCUCAAGAACAAAUCAACACAGAAAUUCAUGAGACAUAUAUCAUUCGAAUCCUCUCACUUCACACAUCAACAAUCCAGCAGUGAUUUAACCUAAUUCAAGCUAUAUCAAACGGAUCGAUCCAAAACAAAUUUCACAUAUCAACAUUCAAAUCACCAUAAC